UACAAAGGGUGCAAACGUCGUUCGGAAUUACUAGGCGUAAAGCACGUGUAAACAGCCCUGCAAGUCGGAUGUGAAAUCCCAUGGCUCAACCAUGAAAGUGCAUUCAAAACUGCAGAGCUAGAGUCCUGGAGAGGAAGGUGGAAUGCUUGGUAUAGAGGUGAAAUUCGUAGAUAUCAAGCGGAACACCAAUGGCGAAAACAGCCUUCUAGACAGUGACUGACGCUGAGACGCGAAAGCGUAAAGAGCAAACAGG
rnacentral:rRNA from 1 species